UGAGGAAACAACAUGAUGUUAAUACUGUUCAUUAUUUGCUUCAGUCAUCAUCCGAGUGUUAAAGGUGUCUCUCAUUCCAACGAUGUCAACCAAACACCUCCUUCCAUCUUUAAGAGGAUCAACGAAUCAGUGACCGGAGAAAUCAAAUGUUCCCACAAUAUAACAAAUUAUGAUCGUAUUCUCUGGUACAAACAAGACGCACACAGAGCGCUGAAGCUUCUGGGAGUUCUCAAUGUUCAGCAUGUGAAUCUGGAGCCGGACGUGAAAGGAAAGAUCAACUUUGACGGAGAUGGACGGGAAAAGUCGAGCCUCUCUGUUUCUAACCUUUCCUUAACUGACAGUGGCGUUUAUUUCUGUGCUGCUAGUCGACACAGUGCUGCAGAUUUGUGUGCAGUCAGUACAAGAACUCCCCUUUCUCUGUCUGCAGACUCACAACACGUUCAGGCUCAUCGACACCUGCAGUCCACACAAAGAUCUGAACCACCAUCUUUGAGGUUUUAUCAACCUCUCACUCAGUUUGUACCUCGUCUGAGGACAAGUACUGACAGCAGGUGAACUGAGAAACGAACAAUGACGUCACAACAAAGUGAAACUUCCUGGUUAAGAUUGACGUCAUUUAAUCAUUUUAUACUAAGACCUUUUGUGUGAAACGUAUCUCAAUAAGCUUCUGAUUUCUGUUAUGUCCAAACCAUUUUCUGAGAGAUCACAGGUCACCAAAUUAUUAAUCAUUAUUAUAUCCUCGAGUCAAAGUUGACAUAUGAAACAAAUCUAAAGGUUCUCCAGACUUUCCUGAGUUAUUGGGCUGAAGAGGAACCCGGGAUGUUGGUGUGGAUGUGUAAAAAUAAAUGUUAUGCAAAGGGGUGUUUCCAUGCUUUCUGCACAGUUGAGUUCUGUCAGUAACUCAAUGCACCUAAAAAAACAUGACCUUGUUGCUAACACAAGUUUUUAAAUCAAAGAUAUAAAAUGCAGCGCUUCAUAA